GGCCGGGCCGCGCCGGGCCCCCGGGCCGCGUCCGCGCGCACUCACCGAGCUGCACCAUGGCGGCGGCCGGGCCCUCGCUGCGUCGCGGCGCGAUGACGGCGGGGGCGUGGUGGCGCCGGCGGGGGCGCGGUGGCUCCGUCGGGGCGGUUCCGGCCGCUGGCUCUCCCCGGACCCUGCGAGCGGGGCCCGGCCGGAGCGGCGGCGGCCCGGUGGAGGCGGUGUGUUUUUGGACGCCUUUCUCCGUCUCUCUCGGCCCCGACUCUUUAGUUCCUCCCGCUGUGCAGGCCGUCGCAAUCUUUUUUUCUUCUCCAUCGCUAUCUGCCUGUCCCUAUUUUUUAUAUUUUUCCCGUUCUGCCCUCCAGCCUGUCACUGUGUUUUCCGUUCUCCAUCUUUCUCUGUAUGGCGUUCGGUCCCUACUUUUUAAAAUACCCCCCCCGUGUAUUGUAGCCCAACGUGUUUUUUACAGUCUCUGUCUGGCCUCCAGUCACUAUUUUUUAGGGCCUCUAUCUCUGCCCUGUAACCCAUCGCUAUUGUUUUCUUUCACCAUCUUGCUCUGUCUGGCUCCCUGCCGCUAUUUUUCGUUUCCUCCCUAUCAUUCUUGUAGACCAUUGCUAUUCUUUAAUUCUCUGUUUCUGUCUAGUUCCCUGUCCCUAUUUAUUAAUCCCUCCCUCUCCGCCCUGUACUUUGUCUGGUUUUUGGCUUUUUCUCCCUGCCCCUAUUCUUUCUUCCUCUCUGUUGUACUGCCUAUCCCAGGUUUUUUUCUGUAUCUCCAUCCUGCUCCACGUCCUUCUUUAUCAGCCUCUGUCCUGCUCCCUCUCUCUCUUCCUGCUGCCUCUUUUCCUCUUGUCCUACUGCUGUUUUGUCCAUCACUGUCGGGAUCCCUGUCCCUGUCUUUCACUGUCUCAUUCCCUUCCUCAUCCUUUCUUGUUGCUGCCUCUGUUCUCCCCCCCACCUCUCAGUGUCCUGCACUCUGCGCCUCAGUUUUGGCAGCCUCCACCUCUGCCCAGCAGCCCGUGGCUCCAGGAGACAGCUGGCCAACGGUCUGUUCCCUGCUGAACUGACGAGCCCGGCUCUGGGAAUGACUGCUGAGGUGUCCCAGGGGCAGGGGGAGCAUCGGGGGCCCCGAGACCUGGAGCAGACUCACUCCUAGGACUCACUACGUGUGUGAGUGAAUAAACACGCUCCUUUGCCCCCCUGGCUGCGUUUGCACUGCCACUGUGCUGGUGAGGUGCUGUGACAGAGCCCAGGAGAGGCUAUGACGUACUAUGAGGGUCAGGCAAUGGGCUCCAGCUGUGAGCUGGGGCUGGAGGAGCCCCAGGUGUCGGCGGUGAGGCUGGUGGUGAUGGCCCCUUGACCUGCUCACCCCACACAUUGGCAGAACAGCCCAUCAAGUAUUGCGUGUUGCAGGCAACAAGAGAACUGUGAUGCUUGCUGACAGGGGCAGCAAAGCAUGCAAAGCUACGGUCCUGGAGAGAGCUAGGACAGAACCUCCAGGGCUCUAUGGCCAUCUGCUGAGGACAUCUACUAUACCAAAAUGCCGCUUCAUGUCUAAUUACUUUGCACGGUAGAGGGCAGGGUGGUAAGUAACAUUGUGCAGUAUCUCAGAUAAAUUAUAAGCCCUGCACAAGAAGCCUCUGUGUGUGUGUGUGCGUGCAGGAUUAGAACAGAUUGCUGAUGGCACAGAGGUGAGGAAACGUCCAAACAACCCAACGCAGCCUGAGCAUCACCAGUGUAGCACUCAUUUGCAGAUCGGCCACUUGGAUCUAGUCUGCUAAGAUGUGCUGUUUCCUGAUAAACAUCACUGCCUCUCUCACACAAAGCAUCUUUCAGCCUCUUCUCUCCUGCCUUCAGAAUGUCAUCUGUGUUCACAUUUUUUUUCUUGAAAUCUUGCCAGCCUGUGAGUCACUGCUGUCAUUCCCACAACCUUGAUGCCACAUGCAGACUGAUACAGCAAUCCUUGGGGCUUAUUCUGGGGCAAAAACCCUGUUCCACAAGUUCCCAGUGCUGCAUCUCCUCCCUCGGUCCUGGGAUGGGGGCGACACGGACAGACGCACCCACCAGACUUUUAACGCACCCAAAUGCGAAAGAGUGAAAUGCUGGAGCCCCUGGAUUUUUUUUUUUUUUUUUUUGGGUGCAGAGGCUUGGGCUGCAAGUGGGAACAGGGCAGAGAGAGUUAAGCUCGCUGCUCGCAGUAAGCACUGACGGUCCGUGAAUGGUAGAAACUGCCUGGGACACCGGCCGUGGCGCAGAGCGCUCAGAGCGGGACAAUUCAGCGGGUGCCGCCGCCGGGGGAAGGGGCGGCGGAACCGCAGCCGAGAGCGGCGCACGCGCAGUUACGGCAGCGGCCCCUCGCUGCUGCCCCCUGGCGACCAAAAGUCAACACUGCGGCUCCGGAACGCCGCAUGCGCGACGGAGCGUGCUUUCCCCCUCGCUGCUGCCGCCUGGCGAUCAAAAGCUGGCACUGCAUCCGAGGAGCGUCGCAUGCGCAAGUGGGGCGUGACUCACACCGCUCGCUCCUGACGCCCGGCGACCAAAAGUUGGUACUACAGGUCGGGAGCCGCGCAUGCGCAGUAGCGGGAGCGUUGCUGUUGUCGCUGCUGCCGCCAGGCGACCAAAAUUUGGUACUGCAGCUCAGGGGCUACGCGUGCGCGCUGGCACAACCGUGUUGCAUCCCGCCGUCCUCCGGUACCGGCAAUGCGAUGCCGCGCUGCUUGUGGGGCGGUGCGGCCGCGCUCGUUGCUGCUUCCCGGUGAGGAAACGCCGCUGCCAACCCUCGUGCGCGGUGAUGGCGGGCGCUCGGGGCGCAGGGCGCGGAAAGCCAGCGCUGGGGCCGCCCUCCGCCUCCUGUCCUGGUCCCCGGCGGACUCGCUGCUGUCACCCCCCACGGUCCUGGGGACACGCGCAGAGCGAUGCAGCGUCCCUGGGGCUCAUUCCGGGGCAAAAAAACCCGGCUCCGAAGGUUUUUGGUGCACAGGGGAUGAAUAUCACUGCCUGGGCUGCGAGCGGGAGCAGUGCAUAAACACUGAAACCCUGCAUCCCAGUGAAUCGUUACAGCCCUUGGAUGGAAUGAACCGGGCUCAGAGCGGUCACUCCUCAUCACCCAACAGAGCACCGAGAGGGGGAUAAUUAAGGGGGUGCUGCCGCCCGGUGGCCGAAGACCGUUAAACCAGGUGGGGAGCGGCGCAUGCACUAUGGCCGCGCCACGCGCCCUCCCUCGGCCCGGCCUUCCGCCCCGCCUCCCGCCCGCCCUCGGCCCCGCCUCCCGCCCGCCCUCGCCCCGCCUCCCGCCCGCCCUCGCCCCGCCUCCCGACGGCCCUCGGCCCCGCCUCCCGCCCGCCCUCGCCCCGCCUCCCGCCCGCCCUCGCCCCGCCUCCCGCCCGCCCUCGCCCCGCCUCCCGCCCGCCCUCGGCCCCGCCUCCCGACGGCCCUCGCCCCGCCUCCCGCCCGCCCUCGGCCCCGCCUCCCGCCCGCCCUCGCCCCGCCUCCCGCCCCUCCUCGCCCCGCCUCCCGCCCGCCCUCGCCCCGCCUCCCGCCCCUCCUCGCCCCGCCUCCCGCCCGCCCUCGGCCCCGCCCCGCCGCGCUGUCGCUUGUGCUGCCCUCCUGUGGCCAAAGCGCGGUACUGCAGCGCCAGCCCCCAUCCCCGGCGGCGGGGCCGGGCCGGUGCCACCGGGGAGGCGAGCGAGCCCCUUCGGCCUGGGCGGGAGUGUCUCUUGCCCGCUGGCCGCCCGGGGCUGGCGGGGCGGGAAGCUCCAAAGCGACCGCUGCGGCAGGCUGCCGCGGCGCCGGCGGCGAGAUGGGUCCGGGCAGCCCCGGGGAGUUAGCCGAGGGCGGACGGAAGGCAAGCGGGGAAGAAGGCGGACACCCCGCGGGCGCAGACGCCGGGCGCCUCCCCAGCUCGCCACAGCUCCCCCGGAGUCUCCCCGGUCACGCCCCCGGCCGUGCCGCCCGCCACCGCCGUGUGCCCCCAGCAGGCGCUGGCCCACACGCCGCCGCAGCGGCCGCCGCCCCCGAGCUGCGGGAGCCCCGUCCGCCCUCGAAGCUGGGGACCUCAGGGACCGCUGCGCGGGGGGGCCGGGCAGCGCGCCAGGCUUAUUUCGUGCUUUCGCAAACAAAUCUCUACAGUUUUUAAGAAGAAAAAGCCGUGUUUUGUUGAAUUCCUCCCCUCCCGCCGCAGUGCCCCGUCGCCAUGGCAACGGCCCCGGCCCCGGCCCCCGCCGGAGCGUCCUCACCAUGGCAACCGCUCUGGAGCGCAUGCGCAGGAGAAUGGGCCAAUCACAGCGCGGGCGCCGCUCUCCCAUUGGUCGGGUCGCGUCUCCGCGCUCCGAUUGGUCGGAUCGCCUCACCGAGGCGGGGCCCGAUGGGGAUUGACGGGGGCGAAAGGCCACUGGAGCUGAGCUGCCUGGGAGCGGAGCGGGCGAUGGACGGUGGGUGAGCGGCGUGGGCGGGCCGUCGGCGGCGGGCCGCUCCGCGCCGGAAGCGGAGGGGGCCGGGGGAAAACGGCGUCCAGGUGGCAGCGGGCGCGGGGCGGCCCGGGGGGAAAGUGGGGCGCGUCGUCGGCCGGGCCGGGUCCUCGGAACCGCCGCGAGCAGGCGGUGAAGCAUCUGGAGCGCGUGAAGGGUCACCUUCUGCGUCUCGGGAAGAGACUCCUGCACGGCUGAUUUCGCUUGCGGCUCAGAAUGUCAACUGUCAGCGUUUCUCCGUGGUCGCCCUUUUGUUGUGCGGUGACAGUGCAGGACAGGCGGGAAGGAUGCGGAGUGCUCAGCGAGUACGAGAUGCAGAGGGACAAGAUGCGCACUAAAGAGCGACGGAGGAGGCAAGAGGGGCACCGUAAGAAGGUGGUUCAUAAGCGUCAAAGUGGCAGCAUAAAGUCCUGGAGGGCAGGUGGGCGAGAGGCCAGGGUAAAGGAGUGGGAGACGGGAAUGGCUUUGGGCAGGUGCAGGACACAGGCUCAGAGGGGCUAAGCUGCAUGCCGAUGAGCAGGCUGAGAAGGUGUUCUGUGAGCCAUCUUUGGAAGUGGAUGAGCAUUAGAAGCGAGCCAGAGCAAUAGCGAGGAGGAGCAUGGGGCUACUGACUUCUCAUGUGCGCAACAGUAAUUUUGUUUCUUGGUAUCUCAAGCGAUGAUGGCCACAGCAUCUGGCUCUGGAAUGAGCAGAUGAUGAAGAGGAACGUGGUGACUACAGGAAUGUCCCAGAUAGUUUAUGUGCUGGUUUUUUUUUUUUUUUUUUUUUUGUCGACAUGGGAUUUAAGACCUAGCCCUCAGAAAGCUAAGUUGAGUAGCCAGGGCUGGGGAGGGGCUGGGAGGGGAGAAGUUUGGGAUUUGCAGGGUGGGGGCUUAAAGUUAGAAAAGGGCAGAGGGCUGUCCUGGAGCAGUCCCCUUUGGGCAGGUAGCGGGAGCGGGUUAGUCUUCAGCACACUGCUAGCGUGAGCCGGGUAGGGCGGUUCCAGCCUGUGUCUGUUGUGUUGUCUGUGUGGUCUCUCUUUUGUGUCUUAGACCUUCCUUGGGUCUCCAUGUCCUCUUUACACUUGAGGAGCACGGUCUGUACUUCAGGCACCAUCCCUAGAGUCUUGAAUGCCUGUACUCAUUGGCAUUGCCCCAGUCGGGUGCUGCUUUUCUUGCAUCGUAAGCUUAAACAGUGGAUCAGUCUUGCAUCUCGGAAGUUUCCGGAUGGUCCUCAUCUGCAGCGUUGUUCCUGGCUGCGGGAGCAGCUCUGUUCUCUAGCCAUCCAUUUUCCGUGACUGUGACUUGUUCCCUGCAUCCUUAAGUUCUUAGGUCUUGAAGCCGGGCUUCCUGCACAUACAUCUUUGCAGUUUUGGAGUCGCUUCUUGUCCCAGGCCAUUAUGUUGUACUUAUUUCCUGGGGUUUCCCUAGAGCCUUCUCGUGUCACCAUCGUGGUCUCGCAGGUCUUCUUGCCCGACAGUCACUUAUGUCGGUGUCAUCCUUCUUGCUGAGAGUUUUCUCUCAUCUGUGAGGUGCAUUGUUUGUCGUGUUCUGUGUAGUGUUGGUCUGUGCUUGUGUGUGUUUGGCUUGGAGCUGCUCUGCCCGGUCACGUAGAGUCAGGGGUAGGUGGAACAUCAGCAGGAGUCUAGGGUUAGGUUGUUGGUCUGCCUAGACUGUUGAGGCAAAGGUGGUACAGUCAACUCCCAUCAAGUUAGCCAUGAGCAGGUUCUGUGGGCAGCUUUUUAAUUAAUGGGGUUUUUUUGGGAUGAGCAGAGCUAUGUGGGAGGGGGUGUUCAGCAGUAGUCAAGCAGACUGCAUCUCAGCGAUGUUAAGGCUGCUUUGUAUGGGGUGUAAUGUUUGUAUGUUUUGUUUUGGUUUUUUGUUUUUUUUUUUUUUUUAAUGUCAGGCUGUAAUUGUACUCCAGAUGGUAUUUCUAAGGCAAAACAAGACCUUUUUGAGGGGGGGGUGUGUGUCGCACAGGGUUCCCUCCAAAAGAGGCAGUUCACAGCCCAAAAAUGCCUGAAAAUUCAUGCGGGGAAUGCGUGUUUAAAAAAAUAAUAAAACCUGUAUAUAUGGGCAUGAGGCAUUGAAAUAAAGAAUUAUUUCUCAUUUUUAUACAUAUUGAAAAAUAUGAGUGUAUGUAUAUAAAAAGGAGUUCAAAAUAAAAACCUGUAUCUACUAUAUUAUAUAAACAAUGUUAUCAUAUUAAAAGAUCUGUCACAUAGACAAUUUUUGCCUUCGUGGUUCUCUCUCUGUCCGGCUCCCUGUUGCGUCCUCCUGUCUGGUCUGUAGCCCGUUGCUAUUUUCUUUCCCCUGUGGCUCCCUUUCCCUGUUUUUCCCCCCGCCUUCUCUGCCCUGUAGCCGAUCGCUGUUGUAUUGGGUUUAAGCGACAAGGUUUUGUUGGCUGAGUUGCGGGGGCAGGGGCUGCAGGCGUGGCUUGUGUGAGAAGACACCAGAAGCUCCCCCCAUGUUGGGCACAGCCAGCUCAGAGAGCGACCUGCCGCAGGUCAAGGCCGAGACCAUCAGCGACGCUGGCCGGGAGUGGAGCAGAGAGUCCCUGCAACCCGUGGAGGCCUCCCGUUGGAGCAGAAAAAGAGUGUGAGGAGGAAGGAGCAGCAGAGACAAUGCAAGGCAUGUGCCUCCAGCAAGGCACAGACGGUCCCCACGGCAAGGAAGGAUCCCUCCCAGCCAUCCCCGACAGAGCGCACCCCCAGCACAGAGCGCCAGGAGCUCUCUGCCUCCGUCACCUGCACGUGUGAGCCACCGUGCCUCUGGGAUGCCUCACGGGAGAAGAGCAUCAAGGCACCCACCACCCGCUCCUAGGCAGGCAAGGGUCAGGCUGCCAGCACCACCGAGGAGCAAGGGGCAGAGAGAGAAGACUCAGGGCCAUGAAGGUCUCCCACCUGCACCAGGAGCUGUGAGGAAGAGGAGGAACUUAGUGACUGCAGGAAGAUAUCGGAUGGCUGUUUUUUGUGGAUCGCGUCAAGGAUAGAUUCCAACACCUGGCUAUCCAAAAGAUAAGUUGAGAGACCAGUGCCCGAGAGGGGCCAAGGGGAUGAGGUUGACAGUUGCAAAAAGGGGUCUUUGAAGUAAGUGUACUGGCGAGGGCUGUCCCGGGGCACAGUCCCCUUUGGGCAGGUAAAGGAUGUGGCUUACCGUUCAGCAUGAUGCUAGCGUAUCCCAGGCAGGGCAGUUCCAGCCUGUGUCUGUUGUCGUGUCGUUUGUGUGGUCUGUGUUCUGCAUCUUAGCCCUUUCUUGGGUCUUGAGGUCAUCUUUAAGCUCCAGGAGCACAGCGUAGUGCCUCAGGUGCCAUCCCUACAGUCUUGAAUGCCUGCACCUGUGGGCGUAGCAUCAAUCAUCUGCUCUUCUUGUGUUACAUGCUUAAAGUGUAGAUCGGCCUUGCAGGGAAGAAGUCCCAGUUGUGUAAGCGGGUUUUCCAUUUGGAAACUUCUGAGAUGCAUCGUUAUGUUCUUAGGUCUUGAAGCCAGGCUUCCUGUGCAUGCAUCUUGUCAGUCUUGACAGUCACUUCUUAUCGCAGAUGAUGACAUUCUAUGCUUUGUUUCAGGGGCUUCCAUAGAGCCUCUUCACAUCACCACCACGGUCUCCAGGUCUUCUUGCCCGACAGUGACUUCGAUCCGGGUGUCAUCCUUCUUGCUGAGAGUUUUCUCUCAUCCUUGAGGCACUUUGUUUUUAGCGUUCUGUGCAGUCUUGGUCUGUGACUGUGUGUGUCUGUGUCUGGCUCGGAACCCCCCUGCCCAGGUGUGCAGAGCUCAGGGCAGGCAGAACAGUGACAAGAGUCUGUAGUCAAUAUGUGUAUCUGUUGAGACUGGGGCAAAGUUUGCGUAGUCAUCUGGAAUUGAUUAGCUCUCAGUAGGUUGGGUGCACGGGUGUUUCAUUAGUGGGUGUUGGCCUAAGCAGAGCCAAGUCAGAGAGGCUGUUCACAGUUAGCGAAGGAGAUAAUAUCUCAAAGAUGUUCAGGCUGCUUUGUGUGGGGUGUAAUGUUUGUGGGCUUAUCUUUUUUUUUUUUUUUUGUUUGUUUGAUGGCAGGCUGUAGUGGGCCCUGGUUGAACAGUGUUUUUAAGUAGAAACAAGACCUUGGGAAUUAAGCUACUGCUCUGCAUCAGCGUAAUGUUUGAUAUUUUUUUUUCUAUUUUUAGAUGCAGAGAGACGAGACGUGCAGCAUGACGCAGGGGAGCCGAGAGGAGCACUGUACGGCGGUGGCUCGGCAUGUGGUAUUAGAGGGAAGAUGUGACUGGUGCCUCUAUGAAUACAAUUGGGGACUUUUUUUUUUUAUGUGAAAGUGAGGUUACAUAGCUGUGUGUGAAUGUGCUGGACUGAGGUACAACAGAACCAGUUUUCCUUUCAGUAAUUCUACUUUUCAGGUAAGUCUUUUCUAACUAACUGAACUCUCUGAAGAUAAUGACAUAUUUUUCAGGUAGUAUCAGCUUCUAGAGCGCCAAGACCGUAUAUUUACACUUAAUGCCAAGGGAAGCUAUGCGGAGAGGCUCUUGCUUAUACUUAUUGCUGUAACAAUCUGUGUCAGGUAACUGUGUGCGCCAUGUUGGAGGGUCGGAAGCGGAAGAGCGUAGAGGGGUCGCACCCACGGUGAAGAGCGGACGGGACCGGUGACCUGAAUCUGACUGACGGGGUAUUCCAUCCCAUCCUCAUCACACUCAGUAUAAAAGCUUGAGGGAUCGAAGGGGUCGGUACCUUUCCUUCAACAUCCAGCGUCUGAGGACUCCUCUGUCCGUUUGUCAUCCUUUCAUCCCGAUUCAUGCGUUUGUGUAACCAGAUCCGGACUCCAGUUCCCAUCCGUUGCUGACUCCAGUCUUGGACUUUCCCCAUGCCUGCCAGUGAAGCGAUGGUCAUCCUGGGGGCUUGAUACCGUGUUGUGUAUAUAUUGUAUAUAUUUCCUUGUUUUCUUGUUACUGUUGUCUUUCGUUGGUAUUAUUUUUCUGUUAAUAUUUCAUUACAGUACACUUUCUUUUUCAAUUGAUAAAUCCCUCUCAUUCUUUUCUCCCUUGGGAGAGAAGUUAAAAGGGAGCAUCUGUUGCUUGUUUUAAUGCCCAGCCUAAACUGCGACAGCGAUGACAGGUAGGGCACCUGAGCGGACUUGGGCGAGGCGACCGGCGGCCCAAUGCAUCAGUUCUUUCUCAGCUGCUGCAUUACAGGCAGCGUACAAGCCUCUGCUUGUGCUCUGACUGUCGGUCCAAUCCAGAACACACUUCUGGCAGAAGUUGGGUUAUAUGCGUCGUCUUGCUAGAAAUGCUGUAUGACUCGUUGUGGGGUUUCUUUUACAAGGAAACUAAAGCACAUUGAGUCUUCAUAAAAAUAUUGUUAUUGCGCUUAAUGAUCUCCUUGCCUAUUUAGGUCAGGAUCACAUCUUUCUCUUUAUGUCUAUGCCCUGCAAAAGUUCAACUUU